GCUUCCGAGGUGACCGGGCAGCGUCAGUCUUCAGCCGCUAAGCCGAGAAGGAGUCAGUCAGAGCCUUGGGCCAGAGUUCCAGGGGCUCUGGGAGUGGCUGCCAGACUCUUCAGAGGUUCCUGCUGGGCCUCCCACUGCUCCAGUGCUUUUGAUGAAGCUAGACUAUUCCCUGCAGCAGUUCCUUUUCCCAUGUUUUGGCCUCUGAGGAUCAACAGUACAGCUCUAUCUUCUUUUUGAUGAAAUCUUUAGUGUCUCUUGAUAGAAAUAACAGAAGCUUUCUGAAAUGAAAACAGAAAUGUUACAACUUGCACCACAGUACUGGACUGAAACGAAGAUGUAACACAGCCAUAAUAAUUUAAAUUAAUAGCAAAUAAAUAAAGAAAAAAAAGAACUUCAUUGUGAGGACCAUAGUCAUGGGAUAGCUCUGUCUUUUCGGGGAAAGUGGAGUAGAGGGACAGAGUCACCCCAGGAGAAAAAAUGCUUAAAUUAAGACUCCCUGAGAGAUUGAAUAAGAGUAUGAUUAGUUCAGCCUUGCUUUCAUCCUCCACUUCCCCCUCCCACUGUAGACUUCAGUUUUAAUAAUGAUUAAAGAAUAAUGCCU
rnacentral:lncRNA from 1 species